ACAUAAGUGAAAAAUGACAGUAGAAAUCGAAUCUUAAAGCACAAGUUCAUCAUUAUUUCUGGCGGAAAUUGAAUUGAGCAGAAUGGUUAACGGAUUGAGUUUAAAUCAGCAGCUGGCCCAGGCUGUUAGCUCAUUUGCUACCUUAAACACAUUUGCCUUGUGGCCAAGAGCGAACGGGUUAUAUGCUUGGCAGCAUAUGGCCCUUGGGCCUACAACCAGGCCUUUGUAUAGUGUCAAAACUGAUAUUUCAGUUUGCAAUCGAUUUGUUGAGCCCAAGCAGUUGAAAUAUAGCGAAAUGUUGCCCUUGUCUAUGUUAGAUUUGAAUAUUACCGAUGCGGAUCUGUUGGCUCUGGAAUUGGAAAAGAUUGCAUUGGCUUAACAAGUUGCGAAUUAUAAGAAAUUGCAUGCGCUAUGCAAACAA